rnacentral:rRNA from 1 species
UACGGAGGGUGCAAGCGUUAUCCGGAUUCACUGGGUUUAAAGGGUGCGUAGGUGGGUUGGUAAGUCAGUGGUGAAAUCUCCGUGCUUAACAUGGAAACUGCCAUUGAUACUACUGAUCUUGAAUCUUCCGGAGGUAAGCGGAAUAUGUCAUGUAGCGGUGAAAUGCUUAGAUAUGACAUAGAACACCAAUUGCGAAGGCAGCUUACUACAGGGAUAUUGACACUGAGGCACGAAAGCGUGGGGAUCAAACAGG